rnacentral:rRNA from 1 species
UACGUAGGGGGCAAGCGUUGUCCGGAAUUAUUGGGCGUAAAGAGCGUGUAGGCGGUCCGGUAAGUCAGCUGUGAAAGUCAAGGGCUCAACCCUUGAAUGCCGGUUGAUACUGUCGGGCUAGAGUCCGGAAGAGGCGAGUGGAAUUCCCGGUGUAGCGGUGAAAUGCGCAGAUAUCGGGAGGAACACCAAUGGCGAAGGCAAGCUCGCUGGGACGGUACUGACGCUGAGACGCGAAAGCGUGGGAGCAAACAGG